CUCCAUUUUAGGUUACUGUAGUUCAAAUAUGAAAAAGUAACACUUCUUUUACUUUAUUCAGUUUAGGACCUCCCUUAAUCUGGCAAACAUACAAGACCAUAACUAAAGGGUGUAUACGUCAUGGAAAUUUUCCUGACUUAGUUCAAGAUGGCAUCUUAAAGUCUGAAUAGGUUAUCUGUUGUUUAUACUAAGUCGUAAGUGUACAGUCGUGGGAGAUUCCCGGAUUUGGGGAAGUUCCAUUAACUUGGGGUUACCACAGUAUAUUGUGUACUGCAAGAGUCGUAGCAUAGCCUUAAAGCUUGUUUAUGCAUUGUUAUUGUAAUUCAUCUGGGACAAAAUGGCGCAAACAUAUUAUGCACUGAGGUUAUUGCUUAAAGAAACAGUUAUGAAAAACAAUAUGUUCCAUUUCUAACACCUUGUCAGUUUGCA
rnacentral:lncRNA from 1 species